rnacentral:ncRNA from 1 species
ACGUGAGGCUCAAAUUGGGCCAUUUCUAAGAGAUUAGAAUGAAAUCUGACUGUAUCGGUGAAACCUAAAUGACAAGAUUAUUCGAGUCACAGGGUAACGCCGAGGCAAUCCACAUUCAUAACUGAAUGUGGCGAGUCCGUAGAGACUAUACGCCAGACUCCGAACUUGUUUCGGGGAAGACAUAGUCCGACACUCCGGGAAACCGGAGA